UAAUAAUAAACGCCACUUCAUCUCCUAUUUCAUUCCUAACCCUAAUUCAUUACUGCUCCCUUUAUUCAUCCCUGCUCCCCUAAUCCAUCAGCAUACCAGUACAAAAAACGAUUAAAAAGACCCUUCAUCUCCCUCAAACAUAUCCUAGAACCAAUGUUAUUCAACUUCGAGCCAGGAAUGACGAAUUCUCGAAGAAGAAGAAUCGCCCCUUCUGAUUUUUUCGAAGCAGGCAUAUAUCAGUUAUGGAAAUUUACAAUGAAAGUAUCAGGGACCUGCUAGUAACUAAUCGAACAAGUUGGGACGCUGCACAUACAGAAAAUGGCGUUUCUGGGAAGCAGUAUGCUAUUAAGCAUGAUGCAAAUGGGGAAACAUACGUCUCUGAUCUUACCAUAGUUGAUGUGUGCAGUUCAAAAGAGGUUGCUCAACCUCUUUUGCAUCAAGCUGGUCAAUGCCGAUGAUAUUGGCUAUCAAGGGUCAAUUGGAACAACCUCUUUGUUAUUAUAAGGAUAAAGUUACUUACAUCCAUCCCUCAAAUCUUCUUGAAACUAAGGCCUCAUGUUCUCCUUCUGCAAUAAUUCCCCUUGUGCAAUUUAAUUUGCGUUGUAACUUUAAUUUACUUGAAUUAGUAAUGAUGUUUUUAUUUAUUAAUUCUUUUACAGAUUUUAAAGUGACAUGCUUAUAACGAUGAAAGAUAAAUACAUGGGAUAUAUGUUAUCUUUUUUGGUGGUUAAAGUUUAACAACUACAACAUAAAAUUUGCUCUUUUUACUAACAAUUCACAAUUGUAUCCCCUCUCGUUACCUUUUGUAUUUUAGAUAACAAAGAUUAUGAAUUUGACUUUGAACAUAUCUAUGUCUAAUUACUUUGACAAGGAUUGUGAAAGAAAUAUAUUCAGGAAUUGCAAUAUUUUAAACUUCUUAUUAAUUAUUAAAACAAAGAUAUAGGUGGCAUCAAUUAGUAACAAAAGUAUCCAUGUCUAACUAUUUCAACGCAAUAAAGCG